GCAGCACAAGGUGACCGUGGUUGGCACCGUGGACGCCGACACGCUGAUUCAGAGGCUGUACAAGUCCGGCAAGAAGGGAGAGCCCUGGCAGUGCCACCCGCCCGCCAAGAAGACCGAGCCCGCGCCGCCGGAGGCCCCGCCGGCUCCGAAGCCUGACGGUGACGGCGGCAAGGACGCUGCUCCUCCUGCUGCUGCUGCUGCGGUCGCGGCGGACAAGAAGCCGGAGGAGGCGGUGAAGGAGCCGCCGGCUCCGAAGCCUGCCGGUGACGGCGGCAAGGAUGCUGCUGCAGCUCCGGCCGCGGCGGACAACAAGCCGGAGGCUGCCGCGAAGGAGCCGCAGGACAAGAGCUCCGAGGAGAAGAAGAAGAAUCCGGAGCAGGAGGGUGGAGCCGCAGAGAAGAAGCCCGAAGC
rnacentral:lncRNA from 1 species